UAGACUGGGAGUGAGCUUCAGAUAUAAGAAGAAAAUCCAGAAACUGGUGUGUGGAGUUGGAGAGAAGAAUGGUACUCCAAGGAGAAGCCUGCCUGACAGUUGACUCGAAAGAUUCUCACCUCUUCUGCUACCACAGAAAUAAACUGAAAAGAAAGAACUCCCCUAAAUCAGGCCAGAUGGUGACCUGUGGCUAUUUCAGCUCAGGAUGUCAGCCUCUAAAGCAUCGGGUUUGAAUCAUUUGGGAUCAUGGGAUUCUAUCAUUGUUCACUUGAAUCUGCUGACACACUUCCUCUGGAGAGCGCAGUUUGGCAUGGAUG